UUUCGCAAUGCCCGAAAGGGUGACGAAGCGACGCCGCGUGGGUGAGGAAGGCCCUCGGGUUGUAAAGCCCUGUCAGGAGUUAAGAAAUGUAGAUACGCUAAUAUCGUAUCUAUUUGACAAAGGCUCCAAAGGAAGCCACGGCUAACUCUGUGCCAGCAGCCGCGGUAAUACGGAGGUGGCAAGCGUUGUUCGGAAUUAUUGGGCGUAAAGAGCACGUAGGUGGAUUUGUAAGUCGGAUGUGAAAGCCUUCUGUUCAACGGAAGAAUUGCAUCUGAAACUACAAACCUUGAGUAUAGGAGGGGAGAAUGGAACUUCUGGUGGAGCAGUGAAAUGCGUAGAUAUUAGAAGGAACGCCGGCGGCGAAAGCGAUUCUCUGGCCUAUUACUGACACUCAGUGUGCGAAAGCUAGGGGAGCAAACGGGAUUAGAUACCCCGGUAGUCCUAGCCGUAAACGAUGGGCACUAAGUAGAGGGGUUUUA
rnacentral:rRNA from 1 species